GCCGGGUGUGGUGGCGGGCACCUGUGAUCCCAGCUACUUGGGAGGCUGAGGCAGGAGAAUCGCUUGAACCUGGGAGGCGGAGGUUGCAGUGAGCCGAGAUGGUGCCAUUGCACUUCAGCCUGGGUGACAGAGCGAGACUCUGUCUCAA
ensembl:misc_RNA Metazoa_SRP Metazoan signal recognition particle RNA